UUGUAAUCUAUUAUUGUAUGGAAGUAUAUACAAGUAGCAAGAAAAGGGAAAUUCAUUUCACCAUUACAUAUUCUCACCUUGGUCACAAUAAGGACCUUUCCAUCCGUCUAGACAUAUCUUAGUUCCAUUACCGUCACAAUUAUAGUGACCAAACUGGUCAUCUCUUGGACGACAAAAGUUUGAGCAACCAGUUCCGUAGUAAUGUUCGUCGCAUACUACUCGGUAUGAGGACUCCAGAGAUGUAUACUGCGUAUCAUACAUUAGUUGUUGCCACGAUGAGCCUGCUAAUAUGGACUUCUGAACUGCUAACCUCAUGAUCUGUUCCCGAGGACUGCCUGCAAGACAAAACAUUGGACCGUGAGAAAGCUAUUUCACUCACACGCCCGUCAAAGCGAUACCAAGUUUAAUAAUACAGGAAUGUUAAUCUGUAUUACAAUCGAAUGGUGAAUAUAUGUUGUAAAAUUCGAAUCGUUAAUUGUUUACUUACUGGCCAUGAAAACUGGAAUGGAAAUAA